rnacentral:miRNA from 1 species
AAAUAUGGAUAUAAGGAUAGAUAA